ACUCCCAGGGCUCUUUAAGGAAAAUACAGAAUCAAGAAUCAGUUUUCCUCCAUCCCUCCCUCUCUCUCUCUCUUACACACACCACACAUCAACUACAGAACAGACAAAUGACGAAUUCUAAGUUGAAGUCCUUUUUCUCUGUCUUUUCCUUCUUUACCAACAACACCUCUCACAUUCAAGGAGAGUUGGAAGAAUGAAAGUUAAGGCCUGAGGGAAAAUUGCAUGUUUAGAGGAUCUUAGAGACAAGGAAGAGAGGGCUUAUUGCUUACAGAGUGCUUUCACAAGCACUGUUCAUUGGAUGCUCACAACAGUCUUGAGAGUUGUGGGUCCUUCUGGCUGUGGCAUGUGGGACGCUGCCUCAGCGCGGCCACUGAGCGGCACCAUGUUCUCGCUGAGGACUCGAACCGGCGAAACCCCGGGCCGCCUGCAGCGGAGCCCAGGAACUUAACCACUCGGCCACAGGGCCGGCGCCAGAGUUAAAUUUUUUAUAAUAUUACUACUAUUGUCUUUUAAUAAAAGUAUAAUUUGCUUAUUUCAA
rnacentral:lncRNA from 1 species